AAACAACCUGCAUAUUCAGCACAUGUAUCCCAGAACUUACAGUGGAAAAAAAAAAAAAUACAAAAAAAGAACAUACAUCAUUCCUUAAGAGUAACUAUAGCCUUUAUGUAAAAUGAGUUCUCUUUAAUUCAGUGUAGCAGUGUAGUCCUUGAAUUUUUUUAUUGCCUUAAAUACUGAGGGUGAGUUUUAUUUACUAUUUAUUACCCAUUUAUUUUCUUGUAUUAGGUUCAAUUCAUUCAUUGAUAUUAUUUGACUGGCCCUGUAGGCAUUUUAUUCUGCAAACACUUAUGACAAGGCUGAUCAAUUUGCAGACCAGCCAAAUAUCUGCAGGAUGCCUACGGUUCCCCUCGUAUCUCACAGGCUGCAUUCUUUGGAAUAUUCUGUGUGCAUGAAGCGAAUUAAUAUAAGACGAGAAAAUCGGCUCUGUAUUUAAAACAUAAAAUAGAUUGUUAACGGGAAACUUUUGUUAGAUGAAUGCAUUUUAAGAAGGGUAGCCAAAAUCUGUGAAAAUUAUUAUAUAACACACAUAAUUUUUAGAAAAUAAUAUUUAAUAACUGAACUAGCUUUUGAAAACAUUUUAAGGAGGUAACAUGCAAAUAAAGUAGUUGAGGGAAAAAAUAACUGUGGCAAUUCUUUAACAAAAGCUUUGUUUUGUUUUUAGUAAAUAUACAUCUGGCUAUUCAGAAUUUUAAAAUAGGAAUGGUAAAAAAUUUCUUGUAGUUCAUUAUUAUCUUUUCAUUGUUUCUUAUGACACAUCUCAUUUUCUACCUUUAUUAAAGGUACAUGAAUCUCUUUCAUUUCCCCUGUAAAACUGUAAACUUCUUGUGGAGAAGAGUCACGUCUUUUUCAUCUUCUUGUGUGUCCCACCCCAGGACUUUAAUUAGUAAUCUAGCACAUGGUAAACACACGUAAAUGUUUGAAGAAAAUAAAUUUCAUAAAAAUAAAAGAUGUUUUCGUUUUUUUCAGGCAAAGCACUGGCAUAUUGAAAACUACCUUUUCCUUCCUAAAAGAGAUACUAAUUUAGUGGAAAGUGAUAUUCAAAAGGAAAUUUCUUUAUUUUCUAAGGAGGAAUCUUGUUUAGACCCAACAGAACAUUCUCUACUUAACAAGAAAAACAAAGAUGACUCAACAUACAAUGUCAGACCAUCAGAAGAUAUAAAUUUAGGCAUAAAAUAUAAGGAAAGAAGUACCUGCAUGAAAGAAACACAAAAACCUUAUUAUGGUGAAGUUAUAAAAAAAUCAUUCAGUGCAUUUAGGUCAUUAAGCAUUGGAGUCCUGGAAGAGCUGCCGGAAGUGAAUAAACCUGCUUUCCUUCUAGACCCUGAGAAAUACUUUAGGAAAGAGCCAGAGGAGGAGCAUCCCCAAAUUCCAGAGGCCCCAUCACUUUUUGAAAGUAAGUUCUCAGCCAUCAUACACCUCUACUAUCCCUUUCAUGAAACUUAAUCAUUUAAAAAUAGAGUAGAAAAGCAUGAAAAUAACAAGUGUUUGCCUUGUAGGUUGCCGUGAAACAAAGUGUGGUUUGACUGUUAAGAUUUAUAGUUCAGCUGCUGAUCUGUGCUCUCAGAUAGGACAGCCAACAGGCUGGGAUAUAUGAAAUGAAUAUUUUUAUUUUGUUCCUUUUCUGAAGUUAGAAUGCCACGAACACGUAUCCAUGAAUCUUCCGUGGAUGAGAAUCUCUCUCCCCAAAUAACCUUAAUUUUCAAAACCGAUGCUGGAGGAAGCCAUCAUAAGACCACUUUAGAACACAGUGUCUGGCAAUCUUGUUUAUUUUCAUGUGAAACACUCUAAAUAGAGACGACUUAAAAUGUAUUGUCUUAAAGUCUUCCAGCUGCAGAGCUAGGCUAAUGAGAUGAGAAGACAAGAAAGCUUAAGUUGGAAACUAUAAGUGAAUGAUGUCUAAAGAUAUAGAAACAAGAUGUACAAAAUAAUUCUUUAUUUUUCGGACUAUUAUAGUCUUCUGAAUUCUUAAAAGUUUGAGGAAUAAUUCUGUAGAAAAAUUCUUCCAGCAAAGAAGGGUCCUGUGGGAGAAUAGGUAACACAACCUGAUUCUCAGUGAAGCACUCAGAAAGCAUAUGGACACUGCAGGGAAGCUCAUUUAAAAUAAUUAAUAAAAAGUUCAAGUUUUCAGCUUGUAAGAAUCAGAAAAAAUCAGAAUUAAACUAAGCCAUCUGAGAUCUGUGGUUUCAAAACUGUUAAAAUCCUCUGAGCUGGGAUUCAACAUCAUCCUUGAGAAAUAAUAAUGUUUGCAGUAGAAAGGUGUUUCCUUAUAUCCACAGUUAGGGAAGUUUAAGAGUCUCCUCUUUGCUUUGUGCCUAUGGAAAGGGAGAACAGCUGGUCAACAUUUUUUUUGUUGUUGAAAUUCUACUUAUAGGCAAGGUACAGCUGUCAUACUUCAUUACCAUAGUUUACAGUCUAAUUAUUAUCAGGUAUUUUUUUUCUUUGUCUUUAAAAAAAAAACAUUUUCUUAGAAUUUCUCUUUGCUUGCUCUUGUGUGGGUAAUCUAUGGUUUCUGCUCAUUUCUCUUAAAAACGAACCCAGAACUUUAGGGCUUUUUUGCGGGCUCAGAAAAUGAUACCCCAAAAUAUGCCACUUUGGCAUGUUAAGUGCUUUGAAUGAAGUAGAUUGAAAGGCCUCAGAACCAGUCUCUCUUACCUUCUCCUGCUGUCUACCCUGCUUUUCCUUUCAAAGUUCAGGGAGGGUUUCUCUCUGAAAUUCCCCUAUCUGACUGAGGAGGGUUCUUCCUAAAGAAAUGCAACUGUAUUGAACCCCCUAUCUAGGAAUCUCAUCAAACAACCAGUUAAUGUUAUUUAUCAGAGGAGAAAUUAAAAGUCAUCACCACAUCCAAACAGGCUAUUGCCUACUUUUCUGGAGGGUGCUCUAAAAUAACUCUUUUUUAACCUAAAAGACUACCUGCAUAAUAAGACAACCUUUGUUCACAGUGCAGUUCUACCCCUCACCUUUUAAAACUUGUCAUCAGCUCCGCCAGAGCACAAAGAAACUUUGUCCUGGGCUAUUUUCUGUUCCUUGGGCUCAUUCAUUUCCCCUAAAAAGUAUUUACUCUUCCUGUAAAAUUGCCUACCCCUCUCACCCUCCCUCCACCACCCUGCCAUUUGCCAUUUCCCUCUUCUCUGUGAAUAGUGUAUUUAAACUUCAACCCUCUGGCCCUUCUUUGAGUCUCAUAUUUUGUGGGGUUUUCAUGCACAUGUGUACAUUAAUAAAUUUGUAUAUUAUUACCUGUUAAUCUUCGUGUUUUCAAUUUACUUCAAUAAGCUCAAUUGCCCAACCUCCAGAGGGAAGGUUGAAACUCCCCUACAGCUCUAAAUAACUCUUAGUGUGGCUGAUAAGGAUUUCAGUCUGUCAUCCCAUCAUUUUUCACCAGGAUGACUCACUUUUAAGAAUGAAAUGGGGGCUGGGCAUGGUGGCUAUGCCUGUAAUCCCAGCACACUGGGAGGCCAAGGCGGGCGGAUCAUGAGGUCAGGAGAUUGAGGCCAUCCUGGCCAACAUGUUGAAACUCUGUCUCUACUAAAAUACAAAAAAUUAGCUGGGCAUGGUAGUGCACGCCUGUUGUCCCAGCUACACAGGAGGCUGAGGCAGGGGAAUCUCUUGAACUCGGAAGGUGGAGGCCAAAAUUGCACCACUGCACUAGCCUGUCGGGGGGGGGGCGGGAGGAAAGAAUGAAUAUGGGAAGUACUUACCUUGUCCUUGUGAGCCACAAAUAGACAUGAAACAGGAACGACCACUAAAAAAGAUCCGGACAUAGGACAAGGUUGUAAAGAUAGUCCAGAUACAGGUAUACAUACAGGAGGAAACCAAGACAGAAAAUGGAGUCAGAAUUGAGGUAAGAUGAAUAGGUGACAGAGAAUAUGCAAAAGCUGGAGGAAAGAAGCGAGAGAGACAUGUAAUGAAAGCAGAAAAGACCUGUCUUCAGUGGGUGAGAGUUCCUGCUUCUAUGAAGAAUCUUUUAUGUAAUCUGUGGCAGAAGGAAGCCACACAUGAAUUCUUCAUAUGGGCAGGGAAGAUGUGUGGGUGAAGAGGUGGGGUUAAUGACUGGGCAGAAAUAACCAAAAUACCUAAAAGACUCUAAUAAAUUUUCAAAGAGAAUUUUUUUCCCUGGAUUUCUUAUUAAAAUUUCCUGUAACUUCCCCACGGUUUUUAAAAUAUGUUUUCUUCCUUUUGGUUUUUUAUUUUCUUUCUUCAGUUUUUCUUCUUUUACUUCCCUGUUUUGAAAGUGUUUCCUCUUACUUGCCUUUUCUGCAAGUGAAAAUAAUUUUCUUUUAAAAGCUUCACCAACUCGUGAGAGAAACAGAUGCGGAUUAUUGAUGACAUAGGACACCACCAAUGAGGUUCCACGAAAAAGCCAGGAAAAAAGUUUGACUCAUUCUGGCUGGAGCAUGGGAAAGAAUUCAGUCACAUUCGAGCUGGGACUUAAAGGAUGAGUAGGUCAAAGAUGAGGGAGAAAACAAGGAAAUAGUGAGGAAGGACAUAUCAAGGUUGUGGAAAGAGCAGAAGUCAAAAUGAAUCCAAGUUGGCUACAAUGAGUGACUUCAGGCAUUGAGACAUUAACUGAGUUUUACACGUGUUAGUAGAGGUAAAGUAAAAUGUGUUUGGAAGGUGUUAAGUUAGAGGUACUGGUGUGCCAUUUACAAAUAAAGUUCUGGAGGAUUGAAGCAGAUUGUAUAUACACUCUGUGAUAUCAUAGUCUUUCACAAGCAGAUACUGAAAUAAUGUUUGUUCAUUUUUGUAUUUAGCUUUUCCUAGGCUACAUUGCAUAUAAUAUCAUUUGUGCUGGAUGCUGAAGAUGCAGAGAUAAUAUGUAGAUACCCAGCCUUCAGAGAUCUUGACAUCCAAGUGGAGUGGAGAAAUAGAUAAAUAGACAAAUAAUUAUAUUCUACAACAAGGGCUAUGAUAGAGAUACAUACUGCAUACUAUGGGAACACAUGAAAAUCCAGAGAUGACUUUUCAGGAAAACCAGAGUAUACCCGAACUAAAUGUUAAAAGUUAAGUUGCUAUGAGCCAGGUUGAAAAAAAAAAAAAAAAAGCGAGGGAUGAUACUCUGGUAGAGGAGUGGUAUAGGCAGCUCUAAGGUGGUAUAAAUAAUAUGGUGUGCUAAGGGAAUUACAUGUAGUUGCCACUGGCUGGGUUCUAGAAGGAGCUUGAAGAAAAUGAGGCUAGACAGGUAGGUGGGGGGCAAUGGAGCAUUUAGUAAACUAUACUAAGGACUUUGACAUUUAUUUAAUCAGAAGUAGGGAGCUAUUGAAAUAUUUUAAGCAUUCUGAAUUUUACCAUUUUAUAUCCUAU
rnacentral:lncRNA from 10 species